ACAACGUUUUAUUAUUCAAAGAUAAACGUACUUCUAAAAAUUCUGGUCGCAGUUCCACCACAGUUUCACAGUAACGGAGGAGAUCUUUUUCUGGGAUGCUCGUACGAUUGGCGCAUUAAAACAGUGAUGAAUCGCGCGUUAAAACGAAUAUUGAAAUUUAUUUGUCGGUUUGCAUAGUCGUAAAAUAUAUCGAUCGAUAUUGAUAACAUUGAAGAUCGAAGAUUUUCUUAACGAUCGCGUGAUAACAAAUGGAGGAGAGAAGGGGAGGGAAGGGGGGAGUGAAAUCGGAUGUAAAUUCGUGAUUCGUAGAUACCUGAAGCGCGCGCGCGAUAAAUAACAUUUCAAAAGAGGAAAUAAAUGCGAAGAAAGAAGUCGAGUCGAAUUAAUUUCGAUGUACAUUUUUUCGCACGAUGCGAUAUUUUUUAUAAAUUUAUAAACCAAGAUCGAUUCGGGAAAACAAUAUUCGAUCAUUCGUGUUCGUGCAAAAAUAUUGAACAUUUGUUAGAUUGUCGUCAUCCAGAAAACGAAUCGAUAUUGAAGAAAGAGAAAGAGAGAGCGAAAAAGUAAAAAAAAAAAAAGAAAAGGAAGAAUAAAACAAAACAACGGAAUAAAAUUGGAAUACAGUUGUAAACGUAGCACCACGUUAUAUUCUUAUCGCUAUUCACGUACAAGCUAAAAAACCGUAUUUACUAUGGCAGGUAAUGGUACACGCGUGCACAUGUAACCCGUCUCCAAAUGCGUGACAAUUGAACAAAUGAAGGAAAAAGAAAGAAAACGGAACGUCGAGAGAGAAUAGAACUUGGAAUGGAUGGUGAGCGACGUGUCGCGACGAAUUACUUCCGAUUUCGAAGCUUACGCGCUAAUUAAUGCCUCUUAAACGACCAAUUGAUUAACUGGAACCCGGGACUGCGCUCUAUACGCAUGCGUAACGAUGCACACGCGUGUAUACACGUACUUACAGAAACGUUUAUACCGGUAUGCGCGCAUAUAUAUACAUAUAUAUAUACGUGUGUGUAACUUCGUCUCUACGUAUAAGUAGGCGAUACGUAGCCAGUACGACGCCCGUUGCUUUUUUUUAUCGCGUAACGCACUAUAGUUGAGCUACCGUCGGCCGUCCCUACGUUACGAACCGACCACCCUAUGGAUACAAGGUAAUCACGACCGAGAGAAAAGGGUCGUCGAAUGCACCUGUACACGUGUGACCAUGCGUGCGGAUAAACGACAGAUGGACCGGAUUGCAUAAGUGCAGGCGCGGAUUGAACGCGACGAACGCGCGCAUACAUACACACGUGUACACGAUCCCUUUCAAUUUUUAAAUCGUUAAAUACAUCUAUGAGUUUUGCGGACACGAGGCGCUCCGUAUAACACUCGAAUCUAGCAGCCAACCUGAUGAAGCAUCGAGGCAAGCCGGAACACGCGCAUCCAGGCGAACAUCCCCGUCGAUGGCGAACGACAGAUCGCGCUCCUCGACGACGUGCUCGUGAAAUUUUUACACUCUGUCGAUGUCGACUGACGCCUCCCUCCUCCGCCGCGAUUCGGUGUCGCCGUGUCGAUCGAGCAAACGUCGCUCUCCGACUUCCUUUCCUUUUGCUGCUGCUGCUGCUGUUGCGGCGAGUACUUCAUCACUGUGUAUCAUUAUUGGCAACAAUUAAUCAGGAUUUCCCUUUCUAAUUCGAUUCAAACUGAGAUACAACCAUGGGAAUUAAGCGCCCCACUUUUUCAUGCAGAAACUCUACGCACGCGGAAACAACGCGCCGAACGAAGCGUUUCGCUUGUUUCAAUCGCGAUACACGCGCUAAUUAUAUCGCUCUUAAGCCGAAACUUCUUUUCGUCGCGUGUUCAUUAUCUUUUAAAAUGAAUCGAUCGUGUAAUUUUGUGGAAUUAUUCGUUGAAAUAAAGAUCCACUCAAACUUCCAAUCAAUUCAAUUCAGUCGUUUCAAUGGGAGUGAAUUAUUUUCCAUCCAAUCGAUCAGAUGACAAUUAAAUGCUAAUUAAAUGAAGUAAGUUCGAAUAAUAUGGAUCAUUGUUGAUCAAGUUAUUCCGAGUUUUAAUGAAAAUGGAUAAUUUUAUUCCUUAAUAAAAAGAAUGCUUUUAAAGAAAAAAAGUUUCUACAAGAGUUCAUUAUAAUUAUAAAAAUAUAGUUGAAAUAUAUAGUUCUGAAGCUAAUUUAUGACAACAUAAAAGAUGCGGAGCUCGAAGGUAGACUAACGAUUUUACGGCCGCAGAAUGUAACUAGUAUGGUUAAGUAAUGAGAUUUUCCGUAUGUCACUGCACUACUUUUUUUCUCACGGCUAACGGUGAAAUUCCUUUCACUGGCAAAUCCUCUUUUGUUUAAGAAAGCUGUUUUACGCAACGGAGAGAGCGUUACGAACGAGUUGUAUACGUGAAAACGAAAGCAUUAUUAAAUUUUCUAUUCGUCUUACAUCAUGAAAAAAUAUUCCGCUUCUUCAAAAUCUUACUGCUUUUUUACGCAAAUGUCAUAUUGACCUUGACUAUGUUUAUUCGCGUUAAACUCUCACUCGGUCAUGGUCAAAGAUCCAUUACGUGUGCAUUGCAAAGUGCGCUGAUAUAAUAAUUGAACGGAUAUGUUCAAAUUUCAAAUUUCAAAUUCAAUAAAUGAGAUAACGGAAAAAAAAACAAGCUGGAUAUAUAAUACAAACAAUAAUUAUUAAAUAUAAGUUAUUAAAUAUAAAAGAAAAAGUUCUAUUACAACUUUUUUCUAUUAUGAUAUACUUAUUUUAUUUUUAUUUUAUACUUUUUUUAUUUUUAUAAUAUGCGUAUUACAAGUUUCUUUCUACAUAUAUCAAAUAUAUAUAAUCUAUAAUAUUUCUAAAUAUAAAAUAUCAAUGCGUCUAUAAAUAUGCGUGCGUGUGUGUGUGUGUGUGUGUAAUAAAAAUGUGUAAUCAACGAAUGAUUAAGUAAAAAAAAAUUUUUGUAGGUUUAUCAGUAUCCGUGUUUCGAGGACUUUUUCCAAGAUCCUACGAGUAGGUGUAUAGUGGGCGUUUCAAAUGUAUUCUGCUUUUAGUAAAGCGCACGCGCCUCUUUCGGUCAGCUGAUUCCCUAGACCUACUUUUUGCCCGAUGAUGCAGGCUACAAAUAGAUAUAGUCACGAAUACUCGUGUGUGUAAAUGGAUAUAUGCAUAAGUACUUCUUGUUCUGUUGUAUAUAUACCUACAUACUUUAGGAAAUACUGUAUGUCCUAAAUCAUGCUCUUUGCUUGAGGCCAUUCUCAGGCAUUCGAAAAACUGAAAGUUAAGAAUAAAAUGCUCUUUGCUCUAUGAUCGUAAAAUUUCUCGAGCAUUACGUCAAAUUUCUAUUAGAUAUUACGGAAAGUUAAAAUUUAUUACAAAUUAUAAUCAUUUAAUUGAAUAAAAAUAAUUGGUCAUUAUAAUUAGUAAAUAAACAAAUAAAGAAAGAAACAUUUAUUAAAUAAAAAAAUUAAAAUAUAUUUAGCUUUAAAUAAAUAAAAUUUUUAUCGAAACGAUAUGUUCAACGAUAUUCUAUCAUUUUUAAUUAUACUAUUUAUAUGCAUAAACCACAACUUCCAUUAAUAAUAAAAUUAUACGGAUAGUAUAUAGAGAUGAUACGUUUGAUCAAAUCAAGAUAAAUUUUCAUCACGGUAUUCGAAAGAAACCGUUACAUGAAUGAAUAAAUCGUUGUUUUCGAAACUUGCUGUGAACAAGUCACGCAAUAGUUACAGCACUAUUGUUUUUCUAAGGAGUAGACAAUUAUUUUAAUAUAUGUAAAACUUGGAAACAAAAUUUUAUAAAAUGAUAAGUAUAAAAAUACAUAUUGAGAUUUUUCUGCAGUGCUUGCAUAUUUGGAAGAGUCCAAAUAAGCUUUUUAAUGAUAUACGUUUUUAUGAUACGCGCAUUUUUGAUACGUGAUAUUUUACAUUAUAAUGUUUAAGAAGUAACAUCGUUUAUUCUAUGUAAAAGCGCGGCAAUUUACUUGUCAUUGUUGUCAACGUUCUAUACGUUCUAACGAUAUAAAACAUAUAAAAGUACAACUAUAAAAUAUUUUUAAAAAAUAAUCAAUUAUAUAAACAUGAUAUCAAGGUGCGAUAGAAAAAUGAGUUUGAUACAUACCUGCGUGAAUUUUAUUCAAUUCCUAAUUCCCCACGAGGAGGUAAACGCGAAAACGGCUCUACUUUGUUGCAAACCGUUCUACACUGGUUCGAGGUGCUUCGUAUAGUGUUCUGCGGAGCUGCAUUCGUGUGACAAGAGGCAAAGAUGAAAAGUAAGAAGGAAAGAGAACAAGAGAUAGAGAUAGAGAGACUGUUUUCUUCUCACUCUGUUUCGUGCGAUAGAUGGAGAAGUGGGUACACGUCGACGCGAUCGUUUCGACGAUAAAGAGAAUUGGUGGGGAUAUUCGUCUUCUUGGUUAUGUUCUGCAGCGCCGGCGCUGCAUCGACCCAUCCCACACUACCGACGUACGUUCGUUUCAUCAUACCUUCAAAGUCGAAUAAAUUAUCUGCGGUGAAAACGAAGUAAUUGGUGAAUUUGUAGAACUAGUAUUUACGAUUGAUUCCGAAGAUGAAACCGAAAUAUCACUUUCCAAUGAACACAAUUUAUAACAUUCUUUGCUGGGUGAAGAAUGCCAAGAAUAUCUCAUUUUUUGACACGAAAUAUUGUAAUCAGGACUCGAACUUGCAGAAUUUGAAACACUUUUCGGACUUUUUGGAUUCUUUAAAGUUCCUAAACUAAAUACUCGAAUCAAUUUAAAUCUUAAAGAAUUCUUUUUGUUUUCAAUUACAUGAUUAUUAGUAGUAUUUAAUAUUUUCUCAUCACAAGAAUUGAAAUUAUUUUCCAUUGUAAUUAGAAACUUAACAAAAAUAAAAACAACUUACUUUCACGAAUUAUCGAAACGAAAUGCAAAUAUUCUUAUUUGAAAACUAUAUAAAAUUUUGAAUAUGGUUUUAUUUCCUGGCAUUUUUAACCGCAUCCUUCCUUAUUCUUAUCAAAUACAAAUACUUAUCUAAAUUCAUUUGAAAUGGAUUUUAAUAUUUAUAAUACUACAAUUAAAUGUUUGCAAUUAUUUAUUUUAUUUCCAUUCAUAUUUUUUGAAUAGAAUUUUUCAAAUUUUACUAUUGACACUAUUUUCUCCUUUGUGUAAUUAAUACAAUCUUUUAAUACCAGUAAAAUUUAGAUUCAAAUUAUUGGCAAGGCGUAUCUCUUUAUUGCCUUUUUGUACUUUGACGUAUUUUUGAUGUUAAAAAACUUGUUCUCUGUUAAUACAGAGAAAAUGAAUAUUACAAAUUCAUUGUCGAAUCUGUAUUUUCAUAUUCUUGCAUUACAAUUUAAUACUUCAUUGAACGAUUUUAACAGUUUAUAUUCAUAAAUAAAUAAUAGUGCACAAUCUAUAUAUGGCUCAGCCAUCGCGAGAGAGCACCAAAAUAUCUUCAAUGAUAAAGCAGAGUCGAUUCUAGAUAAUUCCAGUUCAACUCCUGUCAAUGUACAUAAUUACAUGCAUGAUACACCUACUUAUAAUUAACAAGUUGUCACUAUUCAGACUUUGUAACGCUCGAGUACCAGACGGAGAAUCAAUGAAUGAGUCAAAUGAAAUGUAUGCGGGAUAUCCAUGAGGUUUGAAAUGAUAAUUAGUACUAAGUCCUCUUUACCCGCUGUACACGUCUAGCGUGUUUUAUCACUUUUGAAAAAUAUUAAGCUUACUUUGAAGCUUGUUCGAUAUAUGCAAUUAAAUCAGCAC